rnacentral:lncRNA from 1 species
AAAAUUUAACAAGUUACUAUUUACAAAUGGUAUGAUGGUUUGAUACUUAAGGACAAAGUAGGAACAAAAAUUUUAAAACCAUAUGAGUAAUAUCCUCUUGGAAUGGUUGAUUUCAAAUGAGUGAGUUUUCACAGGGGUUAAACAGCUUUAUUCACUAAAAACUCAGCCCACUAUUUAAGCAAAUCCCAGCUUAAAGGAGUUAUAAGUAACAAAAAGCUUUCCAGAAAAUGAAGACAAAUGAGUAGGAAGUGAGCAGAAGCUGAUAUGCAUCAACUAGAUAGAGAAGUUUUAGCAAAGCAUCCUGUGUGGUCACCAAUAAAACUCUGGAGCAGCUUACACGUUGUUCCUGACUAAACAUGACCUGGAAAUAGUUUUUGG